UACGGGGGGGGCAAGCGUUGUUCGGAAUUACUGGGCGUAAAGGGCUCGUAGGCGGCCAACUAAGUCAGACGUGAAAUCCCUCGGCUUAACCGGGGAACUGCGUCUGAUACUGGAUGGCUUGAGUUUGGGAGAGGGAUGCGGAAUUCCAGGUGUAGCGGUGAAAUGCGUAGAUAUCUGGAGGAAUACCGGUGGCGAAGGCGGCAUCCUGGACCGACAUUGACGCUGAGGAGCGAAAGCUAGGGGAGCAAACGGG
rnacentral:rRNA from 1 species